GUGCCCGUAGUUCAAUGGAUAGAACACAACGUUGCGGACGUUGCGGUUGGAGGUCCGAUUCCUCUCGGGCACGCCA
rnacentral:tRNA from 1 species